UGGGGAAUUUUGGACAAUGGGCGCAAGCCUGAUCCAGCCAUGCCGCGUGUCUGAAGAAGGCCUUCGGGUUGUAAAGGACUUUUGUCAGGGAAGAAAAGGGCGGGGUUAAUACCCCUGUCUGAUGACGGUACCUGAAGAAUAAGCACCGGCUAACUACGUGCCAGCAGCCGCGGUAAUACGUAGGGUGCGAGCGUUAAUCGGAAUUACUGGGCGUAAAGNGGNCGCAGACGGUUACUUAAGCAGGAUGUGAAAUCCCCGGGCUCAACCUGGGAACUGCGUUCUGAACUGGGUGACUAGAGUGUGUCAGAGGGAGGUAGAAUUCCACGUGUAGCAGUGAAAUGCGUAGAGAUGUGGAGGAAUACCGAUGGCGAAGGCAGCCUCCUGGGAUAACACUGACGUUCAUGCCCGAAAGCGUGGGUGGCAAACAGGAUUAGAUACCCUGGUAGUCCACGCCCUAAACGAUGUCGAUUAGCUGUUGGGCAGCAUGACUGCUUAGUAGCGAAGCUAAGGCGGGAAAUCGACCGGCCUGGGGGAGUACGGUCGCAAGGAUUAA
rnacentral:rRNA from 1 species